rnacentral:rRNA from 1 species
UACGUAGGGGGCAAGCGUUGUCCGGAUUUAUUGGGCGUAAAGGGCGCGUAGGCGGUGCGGUAAGUCACCUGUGAAAUCUCCUGGCUCAACUGGGAGCUUGCAGGCGAAACUGCCGUGCUGGAGUGUGGGAGAGGUGCGUGGAAUUCCUGGUGUAGCGGUGAAAUGCGUAGAUAUCAGGAGGAACACCUGUGGCGAAAGCGGCGCACUGGACCACAACUGACGCUGAGGCGCGAAAGCUAGGGGAGCAAGCAGG